rnacentral:rRNA from 1 species
UUAAAAAUAUAGAAUCCGUACCGCAAACCGACACAGGUGAUCAGGUCGAGUAGACCAAGGCGAACGAGUGAGAGGUCUUCAAGGAACUCGGCAAAAAAGCAGCCGUAACUUUGGAAUAAGGCUUGCCAUUCUUAAUUUAUUAAGUUUGGCCGCAGCGAAAGUAUCUCUGGCAACUGUUUAUCAAAAACACAGCUCCCUGCGAACUCGCAAGAGGAUGUAUAGGGGGUGACACCUGACCAAUGCCAGAAGGUCAAAUAUCGGUGGUACAUGGUCGCAAGAUUGUGUGCUGGCUGAUAUAAGCCCUGGUGAAUGUCGGCCGUAACUAUAACGGUCCUAAGGUAGCGAAGUACCUUGUCGGGUAAGUUCCGACGCGCACGAAUGGCAUAAUGACUGGAGAGCUGUCUCGAAGACCUGCUCGGUGAAAAUACAAUACCGGUGAAGAUGCCGGUUACCUGCAGUUAGACGAAAAGACCCUAGAAGCUUUACUGCAGCUUGAUAUUGAGUGUAUGGUUAUACUGCGUAGCAUAGAUGGGAGAGGUUUGAUGGUUAGGAUUUCGGUUCUGAUCUACUCAACAGUGAAAUACCAUUCUUUGUAACGAUAUACUCUAAUCUCUAAGGCAAAAACUUAGAGAGACAGUAUCUGGUGGGUAGUUUUACUGGGGCGGUAUCCUCCUAAAGAGUAACGGAGGAGUUUAUUAAGGUUAGCUAGGCGCGAAUGGAAAUCGUGCCGAUAGUGUAAUGGCACAAGCUAGCUUAACUGUAAGACGUACUUGUCGAGCAGAUACGAAAGUAGAACAUAGUGAACCGACAUUUCGCAUUAGAUGCGGAUGAAGAUUAACGGAUAAAAGCUACUCUAGGGAUAACAGGCUAGUUCCGCCUAAGAGUUCAUAUCGACGGCGGAGUUCGGCACCUCGAUGUCGGCUCAUCUUAUCCUGGUGGUGGAGAAGCUGCCAAGGGUUUAGCUGUUCGCUAAUUAAAAAGAUACGCGAGCUGGGUUCAAACCGUUGAGACUGUAAUUACGAAUUAAUAAUUACGAAUUAAGAAUGAAAUGCAUUUUGCAUCCAAUUCCUAAUUCUUAAUUCCUAAUUCUUAAUUAUUAUUUCGACAGUUUGAACCAAUCGAGAGGAAAAAAAGAAAAGAGAUUUUCUAAAAACUGUUUUAAUCUGAGAUGCCUGGUACAAAGUUUUGUACACACGGCGGUUCCGAUGUAAUAUCGGAAAGAAUUUCACUUAUAUCGGUGAAAUCCUAAUUCGAAAGAAUGGACAAUACCGAGGGAAUAAGUAAUUAACAAUGACUAAUUACCAAUUACUAAUUUAGAUGCAUUUUGUAUUUAAUUAUUAAUCAGUAAUUAUUAAUCAGUAAUUAUUCUUGCCCGUAGAGACUGAAUGUGAAAUAGCUCGUAACGAAGUGGAGAUCCUGAGCGUAAUCGCGAAGGGCAAAAUUUCAUUAUGUGUGAAAGUUACAGUCCGAUCCCACAAGUAAUUGUGGUUCUAUCAAUAUAUUAUUUAAACGCGAUAUUGGUGGAAGUAAAACAUAGAUGCGUGAGACAGGUUGGUCUCCUAUCUACUGCAGGCGUUGAUUCUUGAGAAGAUUUGUUCCUAGUACGAGAGGACCGGAAUGAACUGACCUCUGGUGUGUCGGCUCUAGCGCCCGCUGGACUGCCGAGUAGCUAUGUCGGGAAUGGAUAACCUCUGAAAGCAUCUAAGAGGGAAGCCAACUUCAAGAUGAGGAAUCGUUUGAGAAACCUAAGAGAUUAUUAGGUUGAUAGGCACUAGGUGUACGCAGAGUAAUCUGUUCAGCCAAGGUGUACUAAUCGUUCGAUUCCUAUUAGGAA